rnacentral:lncRNA from 1 species
CCCAGGCACAGACUCUGUGACAAGUAUGGAGACAUUGAAGGCAGCUGUGGCAUGUGGAAAGAACACUGGACGGAUCCGGAACUUGUGCCAUUCUAGUCUGCCAUGAUCAUUUUCAACGUGAGCAAUUACAACCCAGCAACCUUCAUUCUGGUGGGGAUGCCAGGCCUGGAGCAAGCCCACGUGUGGAUUGGGAUUCCCUUCUGUACCAUCUAUAUUGUGGCCAUUGUGGGAAACUAGAAUAUGAUCAGGAGGACGGAGGUGAAAACAGAGAGCCAACUUACUCUGAAUGGAAAAAGUAAUGAAAAUUUGGAAAUUGAGAUUUGCAGCUGUGGAGAGAGAAAAAUGUAAGAGAGACUAAAAGUGAAAAUAUCAAUGAGAACUUUCUCAUUUAGGGGGAUUAGCAGAUGGAUUUAGGACAUUUAUGAUAACAUUCAAUUCUAAUUAUUGUCCAUGUUAUACUUUUGUAAUUCCCUUAAAUAUCCCAUCCCUGCCCCACCCACAGGAAAACCUUUUAGUACAAGUCUACUGUAAGCAAUGCGUUCUGUCAGCAGUGCUCUAAUGGGAAUGAGAGAAGUAGCAUAUUUAUCAGUACCAGAGGUGGUGGCACCAGUGCUGACAGAGGAGGGUAGCCUCUAGGCUCCAUGACACAUUGAAGAAGUAAGCUUCAGUAAUAGUGCCCAGGAGAACAUGGCCCUGGAAAAUAGAUGGAGAUCUGAGACAAGGGCUGGGCUUUCCACAAUGCAUAGAUGAGACCUCAAGGCAGUUCAUUUGGACACUAAAGUAAAAAUUCAACCUCAUUGGCCAGAGGAUUUGUGGAGUUCUUAUCUACAGAGUGUAUUUUCUUGAUUUCAAGAGAGAAGCAAUUACAAGACACAUUUCUGCAGUGAGGAGGGAGGUUGAGGAGGGGAAAAUUAAACUAAAGUAAUACAUCCAAGGCAAGAUGCAUCCAAAUUCUAUAAGCAUUAGAAUUAAGAAAAUACCAUAUGUUGUGAG